rnacentral:rRNA from 1 species
GACAAACGCUGGCGGCGUGCCUAAUACAUGCAAGUCGAACGACGAAAGCCUUCGGGCAAGUAAGAGUGGCGCACGGGCGAGGAACACGUAGAUAAUCUGCACUUCAGUGGGGAAUAACUCUCCGAAAGGAGUGCUAAUACCGCAUAAGACCACAAGCUCUGCGGAGCAAGGGGUUAAAGGAUUUAUUCGCUGAAGGAUGAGUCUGCGUCCGAUUAGCUAGUUGGUGAGGUAAUGGCUUACCAAGGCAAUGAUCGGUAGAUGGUCUGAGAGGAUGAUCAUCCGCACUGGAACUGAGACACGGUCCAGACUCCUACGGGAGGCAGCAGUAGGGGAUAUUGCACAAUGGGGGAAACCCUGAUGCAGCAACGCCGCGUGAGUGAUGAAGGCUCUAGGGUCGUAAAGCUCUGUCGUAUGGGAAGAAAAAAUGACGGUACCAUACAAGAAAGGACCGGCCAACUUCGUGCCAGCCGCCGCGGUAA